CACCCUUGAAUCAAAGUUUCCUUUGUGUGUGGGACCGGAUCUGUUUCCCAGGCCUGCAGACUCAGGAGGGUCCUUUGAGUUCAAAACAACAAAGAGGCCUGCGCCUCCACUGACUUCCAAGAGCUAGAACAGAAUCGCAUGUCCUCGCGCACACAAAUAAAGACAGAUAGACGGGCAACAGCCUGAGUAAACAGAUCCCUGGAUCUAUAAAGAAAAAAACAGACUUCACUUGCUCCAAAACGAAGCUGGCUGGGGAGGAUCUAUGUUCGGAAAUUAUGUGAUUGUUGGGUAAAAUAUCCGAUGAAUUGAAGUCAAGAAGAUCAUCCCUUCAUACUAGCAGAAGCAGGUCAAGUCGGGGUAUUAUGUACAUACGAAUUUUUGCAUAUUUACACAGUAUAUACAUUUUAAACUGCACAAAUAGUAUUAUAAUUCACUAUUUUGGACAUUAUACCAUCUCCCUAGUGUCUUUAAACUUUAUUUUGGAUGUUUAGAAAAAAACAUACUGUACAAUAGCGGCAAUAGUACCACAUCCACGCGCAAUUUUUCAAUGCUACCUGUUAUAAAGACAUUUUAAGGCAGUUUUAAAGGCUGUAGUUAUGUUAAUUGUCCAUAAGUGUCUUUUCCAUCUUAAGAUACUUUAUUAUAGCACAACUAUAUGGCAGCACUGCACGCGUCUUUCACAGAGAAGACCUGUAAUACAAGUCUGUAGUGUGAUUUGUGAGGUGUUGGACAUAUUAGGUUUACAGGUUUGUUGCAUAGGAACACCAACAAAAAUUCUGAAUUAUGAGUAGGAAUCUCUUAACUUUCUUUAAAGUAUCAGUUAAUUCAAAAAUGAGAAUAUUUACUAAACACACAAGAUGCAUAUGUGCCAGUCAACCUAUUAAUGUCCUGUGAAGUAAAUAAUGUUUACGUUUAAAAGAAACAAAUCCAUUAUUAAGAUGUUUUAACUUUUAAAAUACAUAACCCAUCUUACUACAUGAUAAUGCUCCCUCCAUUGGAAAAGUCCAUUCCCUGUUGGUAUCUGUUUUGGCUUGUAAAUUGUGUCUGAUCCAUGCAUAUUUCUUUUACCCAGGAAGAAACAAUAUUAUGGAUAAAGGACUUGUUUAAUGUUAAAAAUAUCUUGAUGGAGUCGUUUUAUUUUUUAUGGACUUGAUUUUUUGUGGGUUGCUUGUAGAUUAUUAUUGUGAUGUUUUUAUCCUUCUGACGGCACCCAUUCGCUGCCGAGGAUCCAUCGGAGACCAAGUGACGUAAUGCUAAAUUUCUCCGAAUCGGUUCCACAACUCAUCUACAACAUAAUAUUUGGGUGGACUUUUCCUUUAAGCUCAGAGUUUCCAAGUUGGGUACGUGUCAGUUGCAAAGGAUGCAUGGGUCGGUGGAUUUCCUGAAACGAAUCAGUUUCAGUUGCCUGCCCAAACUGCAACAGUAUUUUAUAGAAUAUUUGAUAUAUUUAAAUUCAAUUGAAUAAAAACACUGAUGCACAUUCUUUAUUCAUCAUUUUAUAGAAGGGGAGCUUUUAAUGCACUGACCAAAUGACAACUCCCCAACUUGUAAAUAUGAGCUUCCCAGGAGGACGUGAACGUUUGAUAUGUAGAAUGAUCCGAAUCAGCCACUUAUAAGGUUCCACUGCUGUCUUAAAAGGCAGCUGACUACAUAGGCAGCUCACUUCAAAAACCUCAGAAGGCCUGAAGUGUUUAAAUCUGAACAUACUUUGCAUGAUUUCAGCGUGUCUCUCCGAGACUUGUUUAAUAUGUGGUAGAGGUGUUUUGCGUUAACAGCAGCUAGCUGGCUAAAGCUCUCUGCUUUGUUCUCCAAUCCCGAGGUUAACGAUUUUCCGUCGUGGGAGGCGGGGGAGAGCAGCGGUGGAAUUAGGAUUCAGCUCCCAUCCUCAGCGCCGAGCGGCUGUCUGCUGCCUACCCAGCAACCCUGGCGCUUUGUGACAAGGAGAUGGAUGAUAUCUGCAGCCUGGCCGGCCGCUCUAUGGGUAACGGGAGCACCUGCGGCCACCACUAACCGCCAUCCGACGGGUUAAAAGCUCUGACUGGAGGAAGACGCUCAGAGCUGCAGCGCAGUCCACUGGAGUCCCAUCGGCUGAGAGAAACCUGUGAGACAGAAGCUAAUUAUCCUCUAAAGCAAAAAGCCAGUUGUGGUUCAAUAACUCCAGCACGCUGCUAGCCAGAUACUGCGUUUCCUUGGCAACGCCUCCACAGCAGUACUGCAGACAUCACAGAGAAAAGCAGGCGGUCACAGGGUACACAGGGCAGGAUGAAUCGGUGAGGAAAGACUUUACGAGUGACGGGCCGUCCUCUAGACCGAUGCAGGCCAAUUACAGGCCAUUACACUCGGCUGAGAUUGAUCUGCUUUCUUUACGUUUGGGGUCCCAGAGACUGUACUGUAUGUAUAAAAUAAUGACAUUUUUAAAAUUGCUUCUGGAUUUCUUUUCAAAUGCUUGUAAUAUCUCUGUCUGACCUAAUCAAACCCCCAGCAGAGCCGGGGGAACACAAAGUAGACACCCUUUUUUGAAAUAUGGCAACUAAAUGGAUACCUGACAGACACACACACAAAAUCAUAUUUUCCUCUGAAAGCUACCGUAUAAAAGCCAUUCAUUUUGAUGUUUAUCAAGUUUAGAAUCAGUUUACAAUUACCGAAAAUGAUGAAGUAUAAAUCUGACACAUCAAAGCACUUUUUGAGAUUGAGAUUUUGCCUCCGUCACAUUAAGCUCUUCCUGAAGAUCAUUUAUUGUUAUUGACGGCUUCACAAAGAACCUUUAACAUCCUUGGAAACUUUCCAUUGGAGAACAGUGAAAAGGUAGAUUAUUAAAUAUCAAACUGAGAAAAACAAGCAAAAUUUUAAGUGUGUGAUACAGUGACUUCCAUAUUAAAAAAAUAUAUAUAUAUAUAUAUAUAUAUAUAUAUAUAUAUAUAUAUAUAUAUAUAUACACACACACAUAUUUACUGACGUGCAAAAUUUACUGAUAUAAAAUUAAACUUUAUUUGGAGAACUACUUAAGCAGAAUGUAAAUUUCUUAUUAAGAUUAAAACGUUACUAUUAAUGAGGAUGACCUUUGAAUCAUAUCAGUCUUUAUAUGCAAGAUAUUUAAAGUGUGGCUGAAGUAUACUUGCACUAGCUUCACUUUAGCUCAAUUUAAUAUACUUCUUUUGUUGGACUUCAGCCCAUUAAGCCCAAAAUUAGUUUAAGUACACCCGUAUAGUAUACUAAAAAUACAACUGCAAAGUAUUCUUAUUAAGAAAUAUGUAAAUACAUUUGUAGUAUACUAAACAUGAAAUAAAUGUAUUCAGUAUAUAAUUAUGUUAUAAUUAUCUGGAUUAACAGUGAGUCAGAUGAUUUCUUAAUAGGCUCGAUGACAUGACUAUAAUAAAACGUUUAAUAUGUGGCCUCCACAGGUCUAUUGCUUUAAUAAAAGUGCUGAACAAAUAAUGAGCAAUCAAAACAAACUUUGAUUAACACACAGUAAAAAUCUGAAUGAAAUUUUGCAGGAAGUAAUAUGACUUACAGUGUGAAACAAAAUCGAGAUUUGAUGUUUUACCAAACUAUUUUUUGUUAUGGUCCUUAAUCAACAUGAUAACUGGAAUCUUGAAUUUCAAAUUUUGUAUGUAGGAUCAAAACUGAAUGUACAGCACAGGUUAUCAAUAGCCGUUUAAAGAAUUUGAGUAUAUUUUGCACUAUGAAUGAGCGGCAGCAUCUGGAGGUGUGUUUUUGUACCUGCAGUGAAUGGUGAGAAGGACCCACUGUUUCCUCUGACCUGCACUGAUAACAUGCACCACAACAAUCGCUGACAACCAAUGGAAGAAAGAUUCCUGUAAUCCUGUAAAUUCACCCGGCUCCUGCAGCUUCUACCGCCUGAGCUCUCAGUGCUUAAUCUACUUUCAGUACCUUUAUCCCAGACAAAUGUUAAGUUUAUUUAAACCGCAUGCGGUUAGCGGGAACACACACACUCACACACCAUCAGCCGGCUCUUUUAAUUCCUCAGUGGCCGGUCUUUAUCUCCUGAUAUUUAUCGAGGGAAUCUUUCUCGCAGUCUAUAAAAAGAGCGAACUAUUUAUUCAAUAUCAGGUUUGGUAUGUUUUAUAUUUCCAAAUGUUUGAUUUACUGAUCUACAAGCAUUUUUCAUUCAAUUUAAACAGCAAACAAUUUCUUAAUCAACACUUCUAUCAAAUAAAAUGAAUUAUUUUUACUUCAAAUGUAAAUGCACUUUUCGUUUUAAGCACCAAUCUAAGUUAGUUAUGCGUCUCGUUCAUUAUAUUCAUAUUUUAUCAGUCCACGAAUAAACCUUUUUGAGCUACUCUGGCGGUCACAAAAUGAAACGUUUAAUAAAUAUUUACAAACAUAAAUGAAAUUAAAUAUUAAACUAUUUCAAAUUCAUCCAUUCACUGUGUGCAUGCCCGGCUAUCUUUCUGGACUCCUGUGUCCGUCUGAAAAUGCUGGUUAGACUUAUCAGCCAGAAAACGAACCAUUAUUUGCUCUGAUACACACAAAUGAAACUCAGUCCGAUGUGCUGUCAGCCAAAAAUGUAAAUAUGAACCCAUGCCAGUGAGGCUGAGACAUCAGACCCCGAUGCUUGCUGGACCAUUCAGAAGUCGGCCCGUUUAUUAAACAACAAAAUCUUCGUUCCUGGCUGGAUCCAAGUCUUUGUUCCUUUUCUCAUCUAGCUGAUGAAAUGGUCCGUGUGUGUGUGUGUGUGAGCGUGUGGGAUGAGGGAGUAUUUAUGUGCUAGCUCAGAUGAAUAGUGUGAGCAGCACACAAGAUUUUAUCUGUGCGUUGGCACUGCCAGCCUGUGCCGAGUGUCAGACGGAUCCUAAUAAAACUGUCUGACCCCGCGUUGGGCACCAGGCUGGCGCUCGCCGGUCGUGGCUGACUGCUUGGUAUGCACCGAGCAUGGCAGAGCUUCAGCUGUUGCUGGGAGCUUUGUGGCACAGACCCAGCCUGAUUAGUUGGCAUCCGCCAUUGUUCAGAGCGAAACCAAGCAGGGGAAAAAUAUAAUUAGAGAGAGAGAGAAAACGAGAGAGAGAGACACAGAGAGAGAGACAGAGCAAUAGGGGGAAAUCAAUUGUUUUGAAACUACAUUUCUAAUGUGGGUAAUUUAGCAAAAUUAGGUUUUCAAAAGUUAAACACUAAAGGGAGAUAGAGAACAAAGCCAGGCGUUAGACUUAAUGAGUUCACAUUCUUAAAACAGGAAGGAGCCCACAGCUCUGUGCCAACCGGACCCUCUUAAACUACCAUCCGUCUGGAGUUCAAUGUCAUUUCUGCUCAAAAGCAACAUGACGACGUAUAAACAUGGACGCCUUUAAAUGCAAUAAUCUGCAAGCCGCAUGUUCUUCUAACAGCAAAGUCUGGUCUUCAAGAGGUAAUGAAGUCUAUUCAGAGAAAUCGUUUUUGUUUAAUUGAAGGUGUCAGCAUAUGUUGGUUCAAUAUGUCGCUCGUUUUUGCACAGACUUGUUUGGCUACGCAUCAGACAGAUUUUACGUUACUGGAUUAAACAAAAAAAUAACAUUACAUCUGGUGGAUACAUGAGAAUAAAGCCAAGCAGAUUCGUUUCAUAGUAGUGCAGGUGCUCGGAUCGCCUACGAAGGGCGGCACUAGGAAAAAAACGUUUACGCUUUACCUUCAUUUAAGAGAAAAUCUUUGCAAAAAAAGGGAAAAAAGAUUUCCGAUUUUUUUUUUUUAAAUCAAGAAUGAAUCAAUUGUUAAUCUAAACUGAUAAUCCC